GGGAAAGUGGCUCAGUGGUAGAGCGCGUGCCUUGCAUGCAUAAGGUCCUGGGUUCGAUUCCUCAGCACCA
rfam:Dipodomys ordii contig_6977, whole genome shotgun sequence.